rnacentral:misc_RNA from 1 species
GGCCGGGUUUUAGUAUAUACGAGUUUUUUUUUGAAAUAAAAAAAAGGAGCAAUAACCUCCUCUUGUUCUAUCAAGAGGGGGGAUUGCUCCUUUUAGAUAUUUUCAAUCUCGGC